rnacentral:rRNA from 1 species
UACCUUUUGUAUAAUGGGUCAGCGACUUAUAUUCUGUAGCAAGGUUAACCGAAUAGGGGAGCCGGAGGGAAACCGAGUCUUAAUUGGGCGUUAAGUUGCAGGGUAUAGACCCGAAACCCGGUGAUCUAGCCAUGGGCAGGUUGAAGGUUGGGUAACACUAACUGGAGGACCGAACCGACUAAUGUUGAAAAAUUAGCGGAUGACCUGUGGCUGGGGGUGAAAGGCCAAUCAAACCGGGAGAUAGCUGGUUCUCCCCGAAAGCUAUUUAGGUAGCGCCUCGUGAAUUCAUCUCCGGGGGUAGAGCACUGUUUCGGCUAGGGGGCCAUCCCGGCUUACCAACCCGAUGCAAACUGCGAAUACCGGAGAAUGUUAUCACGGGAGACACACGGCGGGUGCUAACGUCCGUCGUGAAGAGGGAAACAACCCAGACCGCCAGCUAAGGUCCCAAAGUCAUGGUUAAGUGGGAAACGAUGUGGGAAGGCCCAGACAGCCAGGAUGUUGGCUUAGAAGCAGCCAUCAUUUAAAGAAAGCGUAAUAGCUCACUGGUCGAGUCGGCCUGCGCGGAAGAUGUAACGGGGCUAAACCAUGCACCGAAGCUGCGGCAGCGAACGUAUCACCCAAGACAACUUUACGGAGUUGACGAUUGACGGAGCGAAGCGACGUCAAAGCGUUCAUUAAAGUCGAGUUGGCUUAGGGAUA